UUCUAUCUUAUAUGACUCAAUUAGAAAAUCUAUUGUAUGUAAUUGUGUCUUAUUGGCGUUCUGCAUUUGUUUUUUUAUUGCCAGCCAAUCGAUGCUCAAGUUAACUUACCUUGAUUUGGUUUAUGCUCUAUGUGGAACUGAAUUUGAGUCUGCUGGACUGCAGUGACAAAGGCGACUAAUGGGAUGGAUAUUGUUUUAUCUGGUGAUGCCUCAGCAAGGUUUAGCUUGCGUGAAGCUGAGAAGUUGCACUUCCUCGGGGAGGAUGAAAAGAUAAAAUUUUAGUCCAUUAAUGUUUGCAUGUAGAUGCCCAAUUUCAUACAUGUUUUGCUCAACUGCUCUGGUAUGGAAACAGACAGCGCACGGAUGCCAAAAGAAGAUGACUUGGAGAUGCAAAUUAUGAUCCAAGAACUCUGUAUUUACCUCCCGCAUUCUUAAAGAGUUAUCAGGUGGCCAGAGACAAUGGUGGGAUUUUAAGUCAAAGCACAUGGACAAAGUUCUCUUUUUCAAGGUAUGCUCGUCCUUACCAGUAGCUAAGUAAUGGCAAAUUAUGCUACACAAAUUCAGGGUCAUUAUUGCUGGCAAAUGAGGAACAUCUCAUUUUUGUCUGAGCAGAUGGGCUAGUUUUAUGAACUUUUUGAAAUGGAUGCACAUAUAGCAGCAAAAGAACUUGGUCUGCAGUAUAUGAAGAUAAUAUAUCUUGAAAUUUUGUCUUGGUGUUGGCUGUUGUGGGGUGAACAACCCCAUUGUGGAUUUCCGGAGAAGAACUUCUCAAUGAAUGUGUAGAAACUUGCUAGGAAGGUUGGUUUUACUCUUGUCACUUUAUUUGGAGAUAUCUUUCUUACUCUUUUUCGUUGAAGUUCAGCAUCUAUGUGAAGCCUCUUUCACACUAUGGAGGGAGAUUUAUUUAAGCUGCCUUGACUGGCAGGGGUAUCGAGUUCUGGUUGUGGAGCAGAAACACCUGAACAGAUGGAUCUUCAUCGUAAAGAGGAUGGCUCUAGAGAUAAGGUUAUGAAACGUGAAAUAUGUGCAGUGGUUACAAAAGGAACACUAACUGAGGGAGAGAUGGUGUCAGCAAACCCUGAUGCUUCUUAUCUAAUGGCAAUGACUGAAAAUUCUCAGAAUUUGGCAAACCAAACUGCAGAGCGCCCUUUUGGGGUGUGUGUAGUUGAUGUUGCUCCCAGCCAGGUCAUUCUUGGGCAGUUUGGAGAUGAUCUAGAGUGCAAUGCCUUGUCUUGUCUCCUGUCUGAGCUGAGGCCUGUUGAAAUUGUAAAACCUGCAAAACUACUUAGUCCUGAAACAGAGAAAGUGCAGAUAAGGCAUACAAGAAGUCCUCUGGUGAAUGAGUUAGUCCCACUAUCGGAAUUCUGGGAUGUUGAGAGAACUGUUCUAAGCAAGCCAUGUAAAGCUAUCGGAAUUAGUUAGAACAUGGCUUGCAAGACCUCAUUCCGAUAGUGGGACUAACGCACAAGCAACUCUUCAGGGUGAAUGAGUUAGUCCCACUAUCGGAAUUUCUAGGCUUCCGGACAUGGAGCGGUUGCUUGUGCGUGUCUGCUCUAGUAGUAAUGCUUGCGGAAGGACUGCUAAUAAAGUGGUUUUAUAUGAGGAUGCUGCAAAAAAAAAAGCUUCAGGAAUUUAUUUCAGCUUUACGUGGUUGUGAACUCAUGGCUCAAAUCAAACAUGCUGUUCUCUUAGAGUUAUCUUGGAAAAUGUUGAAUCUGCACAACUGCAUCAUCUGCUAACACUGGGUAAAGGUCUUCCUGAUGUUAACUCAGUUCUAAAACAUUUCAAGGAUGCCUUUGAUUGGGUAGAAGCCAAUAAUUCAGGUCAUAUAAUACCUCAUGAAGGAGUCGAUAUUGAGUACGACUCUGCUUGUGAAAAAGUAAAGGAGAUAGAGUCUCAUUUAGCAAAACACCUCCAAGAAGAGAAAGUUACUUGGAGAUAAAUUGAUCACUUAUGUCACAGUUGGAAAAGAUUCUUACCUAUUGGAAAUGCCGGAAAGUCUGUGCAGCAAUAUUCCUUCGGAUUAUGAGUUACAUUUGCCUAAAAAGGGUUUGUCGAAGUACUGGACACCAGAUAUCAAGAAGUCAUUGACAGAGCUCUCACUAGCUGAACUGAUUAGGAGUCCUCGCUAAAAAGCAUUUUGCAGAGGUUCAUUGGACGUUGGCGAGCAUUGUCUUAAAUGGAGACAAUUGGUCUCUGUGAUUGCAGAAAUCGAUGUUUUAAUCAGCCUAGCAAUUGCAAGUGAUUGUUUUGAAGGACCCUCUUGUCAGCCAGUGGUCAUGAGUUCAUCGUGUAGUAAUGAAGUACCCCGUUAUUCUGCAUAAAGUUUGGGACAUCCUGUUCUUAGAAGUGAUUCUUGAGGAAAGGGUACAUUUGUAUCCAACGACAUUGCCAUUAGAGGUUCUGGCCAUGCGAGCUUUACCCUUCUCACUGGUCCUAACAUGGGUGGAAGCAGUUAGGAGCAGAUGUUCCUGCAGAGAGCUUUGAGCUAUCUCCUGUUGACCGAAUCUUUGUUUGUAUGGGUGCUAAAGAUAAUAUCAUGGUAUACAUUUCUGACAGAGCUAUCAGAAACUGCAACAAUGCUGUCAUCAGCUACUCGUAAUUCAUUGGUGGCACUGGAUGAACUUGGACGUGGAACAUCAACUUAGAUGAUGGACAAGCCAUUGCGGAAUCAGUUCUUGAACAUUUUAUCUACAAGGCCCAGUGCCGAGGAAUGUUUUCUACCCAUUAUCACCGACUAGCUGUACAACAACAA